rnacentral:rRNA from 1 species
CCGUCCUUCCGGGGAUAGCCUUUCGAAAGAAAGAUUAAUACCCGAUAGCAUAAUGAUUCCGCAUGGUUUCAUUAUUAAAGGAUUCCGGUAAAGGAUGGGGAUGCGUUCCAUUAGGUUGUUGGUGAGGUAACGGCUCACCAAGCCUUCGAUGGAUAGGGGUUCUGAGAGGAAGGUCCCCCACAUUGGAGCUGAGACACGGUCCAA